AUGCAUGCUGGCGGCGUGCCUAAUACAUGCAAGUCGAGCGAACGGACGAGAAGCUUGCUUCUCUGAUGUUAGCGGCGGACGGGUGAGUAACACGUGGAUAACCUACCUAUAAGACUGGGAUAACUUCGGGAAACCGGAGCUAAUACCGGAUAAUAUUUUGAACCGCAUGGUUCAAAAGUGAAAGACGGUCUUGCUGUCACUUAUAGAUGGAUCCGCGCUGCAUUAGCUAGUUGGUAAGGUAACGGCUUACCAAGGCAACGAUGCAUAGCCGACCUGAGAGGGUGAUCGGCCACACUGGAACUGAGACACGGUCCAGACUCCUACGGGAGGCAGCAGUAGGGAAUCUUCCGCAAUGGGCGAAAGCCUGACGGAGCAACGCCGCGUGAGUGAUGAAGGUCUUCGGAUCGUAAAACUCUGUUAUUAGGGAAGAACAUAUGUGUAAGUAACUGUGCACAUCUUGACGGUACCUAAUCAGAAAGCCACGGCUAACUACGUG
rnacentral:rRNA from 1 species